rnacentral:rRNA from 1 species
AUGCUCAAUCGGGUGAUGUCGAUGCAGCGGGAAACUCGUCGCCUGCAAAUCCAACCCCAUGAUGGACCAGCUGAUUCAAUGCUUCACAGAAAGGACUCAAACUGCACACAAGACCAUUGUUCCCAAGGUGGUGAAACACAAUGCCCUGGGCCACAUCUUCCAGAGGAUAUCUGGUGUCAUAUAUUCUCCCUACUGCCAAUGCAAGAUGCUGCUCGAGCUGCCUGCGUGUCUCAUGCAUUUAAACGUUCUUGGAGAUGCUAUCCAAACCUUGCUUUCAAUAUGAAAGCACUGGGCGUGGAUGAAAGAUCAUGUGGAGAGGAUGAAAUAGUAACAAAUUUCACCAGCAAAGUUGAUAACAUUUUGAAAAAUCACUCAUGCAUCGCCAUCAAAAAACUCGAGAUUGUUUUCCGUUAUUACGAUGACAAGGUAUGUAACCUUGAUAGCUGGCUUCAGACUGCUAUUACACCAGGGAUUGAAGAACUCACUGUUCAGCUAUCUACAAAGUCACGAAAGUAUUAUAACUUUCCGUGGUCACUUUUGGCUAAUGAGAAUGGGAAAUUGAUUCAGUAUCUAAAGCUUUCUUGUUGUGCUUUCUCUCCCACUGUCGGGCUGUGCUUGAAAAGUUUGUCAAGACUUGAGCUAUUUGAUGUUAAUAUUACGAGGGAUCAGAUGGGGUCCCUUCUUCACAACUUUUUUGCUUUGCAACGGAUGCAACUCAAGAAUUGCGAUAACAUAACUUGCUUAAAGAUGCCAUUUCAUCUGCAACACCUCAAAUACCUGGAAGUGUUUCACUGCAGCAGCCUGAAGGUUAUAGAGAUAGAAGCUCCAAACUUAUCUAAUUUUCAAUUUAUGGGUCUCCGCCAAGUACAACUAUCACUUGGAGUAGCAUUGCAAUUCAAGAAGUUUGACAUGUCCUUCCCCGGUGUUGUCAGUUAUGCAUGCACUAAUCUUUUGUCCAACUUGCAAUAUGUUGAAGCUCUUUCUCUAUGUUCACGUCGUGAGAUAAUUGAUACACCAGUGUUACCUAGCAAAUUCUUACAUCUCAAGCACUUGAGUGUUGAUCUUAAUGCAAUGACAUUUUCCCCGACCUACGACUAUUGUUCUCUAAUAUCCCUUUUUGAUGCUUCUCCUUCCUUGGAGACCCUUGUCCUGAAUGUGUUGCAGAGAAAGAUGUUGCACGAAUCAAUCGUCGGAGAUACAUCAAAUUUGAGGCAGAUGCCAGGACACCGCCAUGAUAGGCUUAAGACAGUGAAGAUCAUUGGUUUCUCCUCUGCGAAGAGCGUAGUAGAGCUAACAUGCCAUAUCAUUGAGAAUACGGCAUCACUUCAGUGCCUUACAUUGGACACCACAACAGGACAUCCUUGGCAUAGCUGUUUGACCAACUAUAGUGGAAAGUGCUUGGUGUUGCACGUGGAUUUUCUGGUGGAAGUUGGUAAAGGGCUCUUGGCUAUCAAGACAUACGUUGAGCCAAAAGUUCCCUCAAGAGUCAAGCUAAAUGUUGUGGAGCCUUGCCGCCGAUGCCAUGAUCUUGAACCGCUGUCAUGA